CCUACGGGCGGCAGCAGUGGGGAAUAUUGCACAAUGGGGGAAACCCUGAUGCAGCGACGCCGCGUGAGUGAAGAAGUAUUUCGUUAUGUAAAGCUCUAUCAGCAGGGAAGAAAAUGACGGUACCUGAGUAAGAAGCCCCGGCUAACUACGUGCCAGCAGCCGCGGUACUACGUAGGGGGCAAGCGUUAUCCGGAUUUACUGGGUGUAAAGGGAGCGUAGACGGCAGUGCAAGUCUGGAGUGAAAGGCGGUGGCUCAACCCGCGGACUGCUCUGGAAACUGUACGGCUGGAGUGCAGGAGAGGUAAGUGGAAUUCCUAGUGUAGCGGUGAAAUGCGUAGAUAUUAGGAGGAACACCAGUGGCGAAGGCGGCUUACUGGACUGUAACUGACGUUGAGGCUCGAAAGCGUGGGGAGCAAACAGGAUUAGAUACCCGUGUAGUC
rnacentral:rRNA from 1 species